AUUGAACGCUGGCGGCAGGCCUAACACAUGCAAGUCGAGCGGAGCGGCGGACGGGUGAGUAAUGCCUAGGCAUCUGCCUGGUAGUGGGGGAUAACGUCCGGAAACGUGCGCUAAUACCGCAUACUAUCAUAUGAGCCUAGGUCGGAUUGGCUGGUUGGUGGGGUAAAGGCCUACCAAGGCGACGAUCCGUACCUGGUCAGAGAGGGUGAUCAGUCAAACUGGAAGUUAGACAAGGUCCAGACUCCUACGGGAGGCAGCAGUGGGGAAUAUUGGACAAGGGGCGAAAGCCUGAUGCAGGCAAGCCGCAUGUGUGAAGAAGGUCUUCGGAUUGUAAAGCACUUGAAGUUGGGAGGCGUUACCAACAGAAUAGGCACCGGCUAACUUCGUGCCAGAAGCGGCGGUAAUUC
rnacentral:rRNA from 1 species